rnacentral:rRNA from 1 species
UGCCUCAGUAACGGCGAGUGAAGCGGCAACAGCUCAAAUUUGAAAUCUGGCCUUCUGGUCCGAGUUGUAAUUUGUAGAGGAUGUUUCGAACGUGGUCCGGUCUAAGUUUCUUGGAACAGAACGUCAUAGAGGGUGAGAAUCCCGUAUGCGACUGGGUGCCUAAGUUCAUGUGAAGCUCCUUCGACGAGUCGAGUUGUUUGGGAAUGCAGCUCAAAAUGGGUGGUAAAUUUCAUCUAAAGCUAAAUAUUGGCCAGAGACCGAUAGCGCACAAGUAGAGUGAUCGAAAGAUGAAAAGCACUUUGGAAAGAGAGUUAAACAGUACGUGAAAUUGUUGAAAGGGAAGCGCUUGCAACCAGACUUGCAUGCAGUUGAUCAUCCGAUGUUCUCACCGGUGCACUCGAUUGUAUUCAGGCCAGCAUCGGUUUUGGUGGUUAGAUAAAGGCCUUGGGAAUGUAGCUUCUUUCGGGGAGUGUUAUAGCCCUCGGUGCAAUGUAGCCUACCGGGACCGAGGACCGCGCUUCGGCUAGGAUGCUGGCGUAAUGGUUGUAAGCGACCCGUCUUGAAACACGGACCAAGGAGUCUAACAUCUAUGCGAGUGUUUGGGUGUAAAACCCAUACGCGUAAUGAAAGUGAACGGAGGUGAGAACCCUUAAGGGUGCAUCAUCGACCGAUCCUGAUGUCUUCGGAUGGAUUUGAGUAAGAGCAUAGCUGUUGGGACCCGAAAGAUGGUGAACUAUGCCUGAAUAGGGUGAAGCCAGAGGAAACUCUGGUGGAGGCUCGCAGCGGUUCUGACGUGCAAAUCGAUCGUCAAAUUUGGGUAUAGGG